rnacentral:rRNA from 1 species
AUUGAACGCUGGCGGCAUGCCUUACACAUGCAAGUCGAGCGGCAGCGGGAAAGUAGCUUGCUACUCUUGCCGGCGAGCGGCGGACGGGUGAGUAAUGCCUGGGGAUCUGCCCAGUCGAGGGGGAUAACUACUGGAAACGGUAGCUAAUACCGCAUACGCCCUACGGGGGAAAGCAGGGGACCUUCGGGCCUUGCGCGAUUGGAUGAACCCAGGUGGGAUUAGCUAGUUGGUGAGGUAAUGGCUCACCAAGGCGACGAUCCCUAGCUGGUCUGAGAGGAUGAUCAGCCACACUGGAACUGAGACACGGUCCAGACUCCUACGGGAGGCAGCAGUGGGGAAUAUUGCACAAUGGGGGAAACCCUGAUGCAGCCAUGCCGCGUGUGUGAAGAAUGCCUUCGGGUUGUAAAGCACUUUCAGCGAGGAGGAAAGGUAGGUAGCUAAUAACUGCCAGCUGUGACGUUACUCGCAGAAGAAGCACCGGCUAACUCCGUGCCAGCAGCCGCCGCCG